GUGUGUGCGUAUGUCGUGUAGAGUCAUGUUCAAACAGGAAAUUACGAGUGUGGAUACUAUGUUAUGCAAUGGAUAUGGUGCAUCGUAAGUGGUGGAUUGAAGGAUGACUGGAUUCACUGGUUUUCUGAUCGAUCACCGCUAACAGAAGAGACCAUGACCACACUCCGGCAUAAAUGGGCGGCCUAUUUUAUCCAAAUGAAGAAAUGCGAACCAAGAAAAAAUUUGAUAACUUAGGAACAGUUUUCGUGUAGGCCAGAAUUUUAUUUGUCUGCUGAGAACAGUACAUUGUUUAGAUAACUUGAGUUGUAUAUUUAAUUUAAUUUUCUCUCA